rnacentral:misc_RNA from 1 species
GAAAUGCGAUAAUUAAUGUGAAUUGCAGAAUUCAGUGAAUCAUCGAGUCUUUGAACGCACAUUGCGCCCCCUGGUAUUCCGGGGGGCAUGCCUGUCCGAGCGUCAUUGCUGCCCUCAAGCACGGCUUGUGUGUUGGGCUUCCGUCCCUGGCAACGGGGACGGGCCCAAAAGGCAGUGGCGGCACCAUGUCUGGUCCUCGAGCGUAUGGGCUUUGUCACCCGCUCCCGUAGGUCCAGCUGGCAGCUAGCCUCGCAACCAAUCUUUUUAACCAGGUUGACCUCGGAUCAGGUAGGGAUACCCGCUGAACUUAAGC